CUGUCCCCGAGAGGUGUCAGAGAUCCUGACCUCCGUCCUCCAGAAAUGACUUCUCAACACCGACGGCACAACUAGAAAGUACAAGGAAUCCUGAAGACUAUUAUGAUCCAUCCUGAAUCUCACGUUACAGGAAGUCAUCAUGUUUCCUUAGGCUUCUCUUGGCUGUGACAGUUUCUCAGGCUUUCCUUGUUUUUAAUGACUUCGAGAGUAUUGAGGACAGUCAAGGAUGACAGAAGAUAAGAGCCCUGUGCCAGCCCCGUGGAAGAAAGUGUCAGAGUUCAAGUUCAAGUUCUACUCCUGGAGCUUUGGACUUUGGGAUAUAUAUGUAAAUCCCCUUUCAAUAAAUACUUAAAAUGCUCUUCAAAAUUGCUGCACCAAAAUGCACUCCCACUAAAAUUUUCUAUUUUCAUACUGCCUUGCCCAAAUCUGUCCCUGACUUUCUAAACUCUUUGGAAUGAGGGAAUA